GAUGAAGAACGUAGCGAAAUGCGAAAAGUAAUGUGAAUUGCAGAAUUCCGUGAAUCAUCGAAUCUUUGAACGCACAUUGCGCCCCCUGGUAUUCCGGGGGGCAUGCCUGUUCGAGCGUCAUUUCACCACUCAAGCCUCGCUUGGUAUUGGGCAACGCGGUCCGCCGCGUGCCUCAAAUCGACCGGCUGGGUCUUCUGUCCCCUAAGCGUUGUGGAAACUAUUCGCUAAAGGGUGUUCGGGAGGCUACGCCGUAAAACAACCCCAUUUCUAAGGUUGACCUCGGAUCAGGUAGGGAUACCCGCUGAACUUAAGCAUAUCAAUAAGCGGAGGA
rnacentral:misc_RNA from 1 species